rnacentral:rRNA from 1 species
UACGUAGGGUGCAAGCGUUGUCCGGAAUUAUUGGGCGUAAAGAGCUCGUAGGCGGUUUGUUGCGUCGGCUGUGAAAUCCCGAGGCUCAACCUCGGGUCUGCAGUCGAUACGAGCAAACUAGAGUGUUGCAGGGGAGACUGGAAUUCCUGGUGUAGCGGUGAAAUGCGCAGAUAUCAGGAGGGAACACCCGGUGGGCGAAGGCGGGUCUCUGGGCCGAUACUG